UACGAAGGGGGCUAGCGUUGUUCGGAUUUACUGGGCGUAAAGCGCACGUAGGCGGAUCGUUAAGUCAGGGGUGAAAUCCUGGAGCUCAACUCCAGAACUGCCUUUGAUACUGGCGAUCUUGAGUCCGGAAGAGGUGAGUGGAACUCCUAGUGUAGAGGUGAAAUUCGUAGAUAUUCGCAAGAACACCAGUGGCGAAGGCGGCUCACUGGCCCGGUACUGACGCUGAGGUGCGAAAGCGUGGGGAGCAAACAGG
rnacentral:rRNA from 1 species